UGCAAAAUGACAAGAGGCAUGGUACCUAGUUAAUGCAGUGGAAGACACGCGCGUAAUGUGUUGGCAAAUAAAUAUUACCAUUAAUGUGUCAGGACAGCUUGCUGGUAUAUCGAAUUUUACCAUGGGCUUUAUGUGUCUUGCAUGCCACAUAAACUAGGUUUAUUGCAUUUUAGCCAAUUUCCAUUGCUUUUUAUGGUCGUGACUGGUAUCGGCAAGGUGAGCAAGUUUUUAAACAGUGAUUUUGGAGAUUUUUCCAAGUAGCAAGAAAUUUUCUAUCUCAUGUUUUGAUGCGAACCUCUUCAUCAUACGCUAUGGCUAGUCGACCUCCACAUCUUCUAACAGUGACGCUGGAGGAAUUUUGCGUUUUAAAUCCCGCCAUAGAAAGGGCCACGAAGUCUGCAUUGUUUCGGUGUUAUUAGCAUUAUGCGGUCCUGCAAAGGGCAGAAUCUCUGAAAAGGCAUUGCUGGUACACCGCACCUGAGUGACAGGUACCCAUAUCUCCAACAACAACAACUCCAUUUCAUAGUCUGCUUCAAAAUUGGCAUUAUUUCUAUCCUAUAUUGAUUAA